ensembl:lncRNA
UGAGGAGUGAUGAAGGUGAGGAGGUUUGCAGUGAUGAAGGUGAGGAGGUUUGCAGUGAUGAAGAUGAGGAGGUGUGGAGUGAUGAAGGUGAGGAGGUGUGGAGUGAUGAAGGUGAGGAGGUGAGGAGUGAUGAAGGUGAGGAGGUGUGGAGUGAUGAAGGUGAGGAGGUGAGGAGUGAUGAAGGUGAGGAGGUGUGGAGUGAUGAAGGUGAGGAGGUGUAGAGUGAUGAAGGUGAAGGAGGUGUGCAGUGAUGAAGGUGAGGAGGUGUGGAGUGAUGAAGGUGAGGAGGUUUGCAGUGAUGAAGAUGAGGAGGUGAGUGAUGAAGGUGAGGAGGUGUGGAGUGAUGAAGGUGAGGAGGUGUGGAGUGAUGAAGGUGAGGAGGUGUGGAGUGAUGAAGGUGAGGAGGUUUGCACUGAUGAAGGUGAGGAGGUGUGGAGUGAUGAAGGUGAGGAGGUUUGCAGUGAUGAAGAUGAGGAGGUGUGGCCGCCCUCAGUGUGUGUCAGCAGCCCUGAUCCUGGGAGUUGGUGUGCAGGACAUCUUAAGGGACUUACAGCCUCCCCCCCCUCCCCCCCUCCCCCAUGGCCCUCCCUGCAGAUCAGCCCUCGGGGGGAGAGGGGGGGAGGAGGGGGAGGAGGGGGGGGUCCAACCUCCCUGCUCUCAUCGUCCACCGUCAACCCACCCUAACCCUGAGCCCCUUCCAGAGAGUUCAGUUCACCCUUCGAGAAGAUUUAUAAUACAUAUACACAUUAUAUUCUGGAUAUAGUACAUGCUAAAUAUAUACAUAUACAUACACUACCCUACAGAAGUUUGGGGUCUCCCAGACAAGUUCAUGAUUUCUAUGAAAACUCACCCUUUCAUUUGACAGUUUCCCGCUGUGCUAACAUUAUGCACAAGGGUUUCCUAAUCAUCAAUCAGCCUUUAACAGGAUGAGCUAAACCACGCAGCAUUACAACACAGCACUGAAGGAGCCUGUCAAUGAGCCUCUGUGCACCCAUGUAGAUAUUCCUUUAAAAAUCAGCCGUUUC